rnacentral:rRNA from 1 species
CCUACGGGAGGCUGCAGUCGAGAAUCAUUCACAAUGGGGGAAACCCUGAUGGUGCGACGCCGCGUGGGGGAAUGAAGGUCUUCGGAUUGUAAACCCCUGUCAUGUGGGAGCAAAUUAAAAAGAUAGUACCACAAGAGGAAGAGACGACUAACUCUGUGCCAGCAGCCGCGGUAAUACAGAGGUCUCAAGCGUUGUUCGGAAUCACUGGGCGUAAAGCGUGCGUAGGCUGUUUCGUAAGGCGUGUGUGAAAGGCGCGGGCGUAACCCGCGGACGGCACAUGAUACUGGGAGACUAGAGUAAUGGAGGGGGAACCGGAAUUCUCGGUGUAGCAGUGAAAUGCGUAGAUAUCGAGAGGAACACUCGUGGCGAAGGCGGGUUCCUGGACAUUAACUGACGCUGAGGCACGAAGGCCAGGGGAGCGAAAGGGAUUAGAUACCCGAGUAGUC